rfam:Felis catus isolate Cinnamon breed Abyssinian chromosome A1, whole genome shotgun sequence.
CCCUGGGUGGCUCAGUCAGUUGAGCAUCUGAUUUCCACUCAGGUCAUGAUCUCACAGUUCGCGGGUUCGAGCCCUGUGUCAGGCU